rnacentral:rRNA from 1 species
UACGAAGGGGGCUAGCGUUGCUCGGAAUUACUGGGCGUAAAGGGCGCGUAGGCGGCACUGUUAGUCAGGCGUGAAAUUCCUGGCUCAACCUCGAGACGCCGGUGGAAACCAUCUAGCUAGAGUCCGGAAGAGGAGAGUGGAAUUCCGUGGUGUAGCGGUGAAAUGCGCAGAUAUCAGGAAGAACACCCGUGGCGAAGGCGGCUCUCUGGGACGUGACUGACGCUGAGACGCGAAAGCGUGGGGAGCGAACAGG